rnacentral:rRNA from 1 species
AACGAACGCUGGCGGCAGGCCUCAAACAUGCAAGUCUAGGGGGUGUAGCAAUACAUCACCGGCGGACGGGUGCGUAACGCGUGGGAAUAUACCUAUCGAUUCGGAACAACUGAGGGAAACUUCAGCUAAUACCGAAUACGUCCUAACGGAGAAAGAUUUAUCGUCGAUAGAUUAGCCCGCGUUCGAUUAGCUAGUUGGUGGGGUAACGGCCCACCAAGGCGACGAUCGAUAGCUGUUCUGAGAGGAAGAUCAGCCACACUGGGACUGAGACACGGCCCAGACUCCUACGGGAGGCAGCAGUUGGGAAUCUUGGACAAUGGGGGAAACCCUGAUCCAGCCAUGCCGCGUGAGUGAUGAAGGCCUUCGGGUUGGUAAAACUACUUUCGCGCACGACGAUAAUGACGGUAGUGCGAGAAGAAGCUCCGGCUAACUUCGUGCCAGCAGCC